rnacentral:misc_RNA from 1 species
GAUGAAGAACGUAGCGAAAUGCGAUAAGUAAUGUGAAUUGCAGAAUUCAGUGAAUCAUCGAAUCUUUGAACGCACCUUGCGCCUCUUGGUAUUCCGAGAGGCAUGCCUGUUUGAGUAUCUUAUAAAAUCAAUCCCCACGGGUUUCUUGACCUGGCGGUGGACUUGGAGUUGGGCGUCUGCCGGUCACACGGCUCGCCUUAAAGACCUUAGUGGGAUCAUCGGCCUAUGGCUUGACGUAAUAAGUUUCGUCUCGUCCGGCCCCUGGAGCCCGCUCACAACCCGCCCUCGGGCAACUACUUUAUGCUAGACCUCAAAUCAGGUAGGACUACCCGCUGAACUUAAGCAUAUCAAUAAGCGGAGGA